CGCAGGUUCGAAUCCUGCACGACCCACCAAUUUUAACAUCAAACUCAGAUGUUAAGCGUGAAGGAUAACGUUGCGCCAGCAACGGCCCGUAGGGCGAGCGAAGCGAGUCAUCCUGCACGACCCACCA
rnacentral:sRNA from 1 species